GACCUGCCACCCUCUCCACCUGGAAUACUCCUCCCCUGUCAUGUUUGUCCCCUCCGCUUCCUUCAGGACAUGCUCAUGUGACCCCUUCGGAAUGAGGCCUUUGCUGACCAUAUAGAUGAAGUAAUCCAGCCCCAAACGCUCCCUGUCCCCCCAGCUCACCUUCUUUUUGUUUGUGGCACUGGCACCGAUCACUUACCUGAUGCCACUCUGGGGUGGUCCUGAGGGCAAGGACUUGAUUGAGUGCCCUCCUUAAUCCUCUUGCCUGGAAAAAUGCCUGCCACAUAGUAGGGGCUCUAUAAACGUUUGUUGAAUGACUGAAUGAGAGUACUUGGGCAGUUUUGGAGGAAACAGAUGGGAGGAGGGAAAGAUCGGUGAUAGAGAUGGGUGAAUUCGGAGGUUAUUGCUGUGGUCAUCCUGAGGUUUGGUGAGAACCUAAGCCCAGGGGUUGGAGAGGAGAGGAGAAGAUGUGCUCCUGAUGGGUUCCGUUUGGGAUGAGAGGGAAGGGGUGGGAGGGCAUCUGGAAUACUCUCUGUUACUAGCUUGGCAAUAAAGCAUACCAGAAGAAAAUCCCGAGCAUUCCUUUUAUAAAGCAUAUUGUAUUAUUAUGAGAAGAUAAAUAACUUAUUUCUUUAAUUUGUGUUUGUCUGAGAUACAGUUUCUCAAAGGCUCUGAGUAACCCUUGCUGAAAUGCCAAUUUUACUUUGAGGUCAAGUUUCCUAAACUGUUUUGAAAGCUAGCCGUGCGGGGAGGCUUUGGCCUCCAGGGAGUUUAUAACUUUAAGUAGAGAGAUUUUUCUGGAUCUGGAAGCUAAACUGGAGUUUUUGAAGGUCUGAAAACUUCAUUAGCUGUUUGGUACCUUGAAUCAUUAACAGAAUUAAUAUUUCAAAUAUGAAGUUUACAGUUCUUCCUAUUUCUUUAUAUAAGGAUGGUCUCUGAAGCAAAGGCCUCAACUACCUCUUUUAUUCUACUGGUGCCACUCUGGAUUUCCCCAUGAGGCCCAGUAACUGGCAUCUUCUAGACGGCUGGGGGUAAGCAGCUUAUUUGCAGGCUGGGCCCUGGCCCAUUUCUUUAAGCCUUGGAGUCAGGAAGUUGGUGAAAUUCUUGAAACUCUUGUAUUUUCUGUCUUUUUGUUUGUUUUAGGGCCCCACCCGCAGCAUAUGGAGGUUCCCAGGCUAGGGGUCCAAUUGGACUUACAGCUGCCACAGCCAUAGCAAUGCAGAUCUGAGCCACGUCCAUGACCUACAUCACAGCUCAUGGCAAUGCCAGAUCCUUAACCCACUGAGCGAGGCCAGGGAUCAAACCCUCAACCUCAUGGUUCCUAGUGGGAUUCCUUUCUGCUGCACCAUGGCAGGAACUCCUGGAUGUUUUCUAAUUAAAAAAAAAAAAAAAAGGUGAUAGAUUUAAAGUUCUUCACUGAUUAUAAUCCAUUACCUUCUUCUAAGAUAAUUUUUUCUCCCUUCUUACGUCUCACUUGCCAUUUUGGGAGCUUUGCCUUUUGGCUUGGGCUCCUCUAGAAAGCAGAGAUGAUGGCUUGGUCCCAUAUUGGAGGGCUCUGCUUCUUUCCUGUGUGGUUGGCGGGGUCACAUCUGUUAAGUGGAAGGGGCUGGCCUAGAGGCUCUGCAGUCAUCUUCCAGCAUUGAAUUCUGUAUUCUAAACUCUGAGUCU
rnacentral:lncRNA from 1 species